GAGGAAAAUGAAGGACUUGUAUGGUCUUGGAAUCAUAGGCUAACUAAUCAAUUCCUAGGACGUGUCCUACCGAUUGGCAACUUACACCGCCACCUCUGUUAUUUGCGGCGCUGCAGCUUCAGUAUUUUUUAAUUCGAAAACUUUUUGGACUAUUUUGAUGAAACUUUGUAGGAGAGAUAAUAGGCUAGACGGGGC